GAGGAAUCUUCCACAAUGGACGAAAGUCUGAUGGAGCAAUGCCGCGUGCAGGAUGACGGCCUUCGGGUUGUAAACUGCUUUUAUAUGGGAAGAUUAUGACGGUACCAUAUGAAUAAGGACCGGCUAACUACGUGCCAGCAGCCGCGGUAAUACGUAGGGUCCAAGCGUUAUCCGGAAUCACUGGGCGUAAAGCGUUUGUAGGCGGAAAUUUAAGUGAGAUGCGAAAUCUUGUGGCUCAACCACAUAGACGGUAUCUCAUACUGGGUUUCUAGAAUGUAGCAGAGGUAAGUGGAAUUAGUAGUGUAGCGGUAAAAUGCGUAGAUAUUACUAGGAACACCAAUGGCGAAGGCAGCUUACUGGGCUAUUAUUGACGCUGAGAAACGAAAGCGUGGGGAGCGAAC
rnacentral:rRNA from 1 species